GCCUGGAAAUCUAGUGGUUAGGCCUCUGAGCUCUUACCGCCAUGGUCCGGGUUCAAUUCCCGGCCAGACA
rnacentral:tRNA from 1 species